rnacentral:rRNA from 1 species
UACGUAGGGGGCAAGCGUUGUCCGGAAUCAUUGGGCGUAAAGCGCGCGUAGGCGGCCCGGUAAGUCCGCUCUGAAAGUCCAGGGCUCAACCCUGGAAAGCGGGUGGAUACUGCCGGGCUAGAAUCCGGAAGAGGCGAGUAGGAAUUCCUGGUGAGCGGUGGAAUGCGCAGAUAUCAGGAGGAACACCGGUGGCGAAGGCGGGUCGCUGGGCCGUAACUGGACGCUGAGGAGCGAAAC